AUUUUGACCAUCACAUUUCCAAGAUGCUGGUAUGCAGACUCCAUUACCACAGCUAAAGUGAUUUUCUUGACAUUUUCUGUUUUCUAAAAGACAUGACUUGAACACGACUUGCGCCACAGUACCUCUGGAAUUGGCAAACAUGAUGGCCUUGUGCGACCAUAAAAAGUGAAAUACAGGUCAGCUAUACCACAUCGCAGUCUGGCGUCAUUGGAUGUCCCGGAGCUAAAAAUGAGACACAAAAACAACGUGUAGCUCUGUCUUUACCUUCAUGAGGCGUUCCACCAGCAUCUCAGUUCCCAUACUGCUCUUGUUGUCCUGCUUAGUGAAUGGAGGGUUGGUCAGCAGCAGCUUCAACACACCAUGCCUGAAAGCAAUGCUCAAGUUUUAAAGAACUAGAAAUAAAAUUCUUAAUUUGACAUCCAUAUUUUUUAGCAAUUUUACAAAGUAGGAGUGUUGAUUGUUCACAAUUUCUCAUCUUUCUCACUUAAUUAUGUUUUUUUAGUAUUAUCUAAAUUACCAGUCUUUUUAAUCUUGUUGUCUUGUAGAGUGCAUGCACUGCAAAGUUUGAAAUUGUUUUGUAAUUUAUUUUGAGAUUUUUAUGGAACGUGCCAUAUAAGGAUUUAUAAUUCUUACUUUCAUGAAAAUAAUUCUACAGGAGUAUCAGAAACUUCUCUCAAAGUUAUAAAUGAUUCUGAAAUGUUUUAUAAUGA